rnacentral:lncRNA from 1 species
UUCUUAUAUCCAUGGCAACCAAGACCACUGUAAUUGGUCUAUGUCUGGAAUCAGGAGGCCUGGUUCUAGCCCAAGCACAGUCUCCAGCUUAAGGAAUGACCUUAAGCAAGCACUUCUUCCCUCAGGGCAACAUUUAAAAAAAUAAGAAGAUUGGAUUGAUCAACAUUUUACUGCCUGUAUUUCACAGGACAUUCUCCUUUUAAUAUAUUUGCUUGAACCUUCUUGAAAACAGGACUCCACGGACAAAUAAGGGUGCCUCUGCAGCAGCAAAUGUGGCUGUUCAACAAUCUGAAGUCUUUGAUUGUGAACAGUGCUAACCAGCCCUGGGAAAGAAAAGCAGCUCUCUUCCCUGCUCUCCAGGGCUAGCAGAUGAACACUGUGGGGUCGAGCCCAGUCUGGCCAGAGCAAGUCCAGGAAAAGGUGCUUCUCACUCUUCAGGGCACUGCUCAGAUCCCCAAGCAUAAUUUUGGAAACUCUGAUCCAGAACCCUGGAUUGCAGGUCUAACACCAGCAAUAUUUACACACCGAAGGCACGAGUAUGGCCAUUUGGGGGGCUGUGAUAUUGUUAUUGAGGAGUUUUCCAGAGAUAACUAGACAAGAGCUAGAAAACAAUGGAAGGAACUUUAGAAGCUCACAGGAUAAUCCGGCAUUGUUCACCCUGUGUAAAGGCUCUAUGGUGGAUCCAUCAGGCUAUCAGUCAGGUGUGGAAAGGGAAGAUCUCAGUUUCAAUGGAGCAUUGGAUUUACACAAGUCAAGAGGCAAAAAGUGGGCUUUGCUGAAGACUGAUGCUAAAGCUGAAUUCUGGACAAUGAGUAGCAAUGAGCCAUGUAAAGAAAAGGAAGUGAGUAGGUCCUGAGGCAAAACAGAGUUUGCCACGUUUGAGGAACUGUGAGAGAACUGUUGUUCCCAGUGGGAGAACACUAAGAAUGAAAUUGACUCAAAAUGAGGCUGGAGAUGUAGGCUUAGAUUACAUAGGUUGGCCAGCAUAGGAAUUUUAGAUUUCAUUUUAAAAAUCAAUGGGGAAUCAUUAAAUUGCUUUAAGUUAGAGAGGAGGAAUAGCUGCAGAGCAAAUUUCCAUUUUUUGAAGAUUAUUUUAUGGGUAAGACCUCCAGAAUAGCCACCACCAUCCCCCCAUCACCAUACCCCCCCACCAUCUCCCCCACCAUACUCCCACCACAUUCCCCCCAUAUCCCCCACCACCACAACAUCCCCACCACCACCACAUUACCCCCCC